AUGUCGACCAGCCGUUGGGUGCCUAGCGCACUUUGUGGCGAAGUUAACGCGAUAAGUCGACCGCCUGGGGAGUACGGCCGCAAGGUUAAAACUCAAAUGAAUUGACGGGGGCCCGCACAAGCGGUGGAGCAUGUGGUUUAAUUCGAUGCAACGCGAAGAACCUUACCUACUCUUGACAUCCUGCGAAUUUGGUAGAGAUACCUUAGUGCCUUCGGGAACGCAGAGACAGGUGCUGCAUGGCUGUCGUCAG
rnacentral:rRNA from 1 species